rnacentral:rRNA from 1 species
CAGUCGCCGCGGGAAUACGAAGGGGGCUAGCGUUGUUCGGAAUCACUGGGCGUAAAGCGCACGUAGGCGGACACUUAAGUCAGAGGUGAAAUCCCAAGGCUCAACCUUGGAACUGCCUUUGAUACUGGGUGUCUUGAGGUCGAGAGAGGUGAGUGGAACUGCGAGUGUAGAGGUGAAAUUCGUAGAUAUUCGCAAGAACACCAGUGGCGAAGGCGGCUCACUGGCUCGAUUCUGACGCUGAGGUGCGAAAGCGUGGGGAGCAAACAGGAUUAGAUACCCCAGUAGUCCCUGUCUCUUAUAC